rnacentral:rRNA from 1 species
GUUAUAAUUCUAGCCACCUAAUAUACCCAACAAUUCUAUUAACCAUUAAAAUAAAUCAUUUAAUUAUGGAAGUAUAGGCGAUAGAAACCAUCAUUUGAGCAAUAGAAAUAGUACUGCAAAGGAAAGAUGAAAA